GAGAGGGGUUUUUUGUCAGACUAAGGUAAUAAAACUGAUAUUUAAACAUGCUAUACACAUUUUCAUCGCUUCUGGAUACCAACAUCUAGUUUAUCACAAGGACACACAAAGCAAAUAUAACAAUGUGCAGGGCUGCAGAAACCCACUAGUCUAUUAGUUUGUGACGAGUGGAAAAUGAUGCCUGACAAGUGAAAAAAGUCCUGAUGAGCAGUGUACCAACAUAGCUUGACGAGUAAAAUAUUUUGUCUGGCUGAUAAACUGAGCCUACAUUUCUUCACCCCUGCCAAUGUAAAUCUGCUAAUAGGAAAAGGGACACUCUGCAAUGUCAGCAGUCCAAUACAUAACGUGACACCAAGGUCUAGGAGUGAAUGAUGUAUAACAGUUCUUUUUAUUUUAAAUUUAUUUCAAUAUGUAAUUUAUUCUCCUGCUAUCCAGUCUGGUUUCCUAAACUAUACUAGCAUUUAAUACACUGGCCUUGGAGAGGAGAGCUGGUCUUGCAGCAGCGAGUAUGAACUGUCCGCUUUGCUAAUCAGAGUCUGGCCUUGUUUGCAUUUGGAUGGCCAACUACAUCCAAGUGCUGUCUGAAGCAAGAUAUUGCCCUUAGGGGAUGAGGCCGUAGUUCAGUGGUGGAGCAACUGCUUGCAUGCAAAAGGCCUCAGGUUCACUCCUUGGCAGCAUCUUCAGGUAGGGCUGACACAAUACUGAGUUAGAUGGACCAAUGGUCUGACUCAGUGUAAGGCAACUUCCUAAUCACUUCAGGGUCUUGUUUCCCUUUGUAAGUUUGGGAACUAUUGUUCCAAGAGGAUGCUAAGAAAUCUCCAAGAUGCUCAUCCCAUUCGAGCAUGGCAAUUCCCCAAAUUACAUAAGAAAACUUGCUUCAGUUUAUAGCACAGAUAUAUUUUGUGUUUUGUGAGCUGCCCAUAUUUGGGGCAGUUGACAAAUAGAAUAUAUAAAUAACAAUAAAACCUAAAGCAGACUUGGACCCAGCUGUAUGAUAGAUGCCUGACCAUCUACCAGCCUUGGACUGCAAACUCAGGAGCAAGAAAGGAGGUUUUUAAUGAGUCCCGGACUGCACAUGGCUGGUGGGAUCACAAAUUGUGUGGGCCUACUCUAAGGUAAAUAUAGCCCGACCUCAGCUAGAAUCUAUCGCAAUACAGGAAAUAGUAUACUUUGUUUCUAAAAGAGUAGACUAUUUCCAGUUAAGUGCACAAGAACCUUUAGUGAGUUCCCAGCAGCACCUGGUGAGCCAAUGUGUGAAACAGGCUGCUGGACUAGAUGGGCCUCGGGCCUGAUCCAGCAGGUCUGUUCUUAUGUUCCUCAGAAAUAUGCUGAAGAAAUAUUUCUCUUCUACUCUGCACUCUUGUGGAUAAAUCAUGGAAUGCAAGCUAGAUUUUACAAAAAUGAAAACAGCUCAGAGACUAAUUAAAACAUCCUGACUACAUCAACUUGCAAACUGGCAAGAACAAACCACCAACCAAAAGCACUAUCAGUUCUCAGCUCUAGCUUAAUAAAAUCUGAAAACAGGUUGUGUUAAACUUUAACAGCUGGACAUUACCUUCUGGAAAUCACAUCCUGAUGAUAUGUGGAAAGAAGUGCAGAAGUUGGAGAAGGGUGAAGCAGCAGCAGAGGUGCCACUGGAAUAAAACUUGAGCCGAGUUUAUGCCGCCCUACAAAAGGAAACCAAAAUUAAGUCCAUCGUUCUGAGUAGAGGUAUCCUGUUAGAAUGAAGGAUGACCCUGAAGACAUACCUGUUUUCCCAGGCCUCCAACUGAUACCAGAUUUUUAAAUUUUAAUGUGUUUUUAUCUAUUUUAUCUUUUUAUGUAUUAUAAAUGUUCUAUAUUUUAUAUUGUGUUUUAAUUCUGCAAACUGCCUAGAGAUUUCAAUAUUAGGCGGUAUAUAAAUUCAAUAAGCAAACAAACCAACAUUAACAGAUUUGCUGAUGUUUUAAUAUUGUUUCAUUGUUUUGAUUGGUUAUUCCCCAUCUCUGACAGCUUUAAAAAAGUCUUUAAAGACGCAUCUGUUCACCCAGGCUUUUAAUUAAUAUUGCUUUAAUGGUUUUAAUGCUGUUUUAAAAUAUUGUUUAAAAUUUUUUAAAUUACUGUGGUGUUUUGAACAUUUUGCUUUUAAAAAAAACUAAUGUUUUACUUUCUGUUUUUAUUGUGUUGUAAACUGCCCAGAGACGUAAGUUUUGGGCGGUAUAAAAAUGUGUCAAAUAAAUAAAAAUAAAUAAAUAUU